CUGCAGUCAAUUAAGCUGACUGUGCUCUUUCCCCGUGGGGCCCAGAGAGCAAUGGCUGCACACAGCAGCCUCCUUGGUACUGUAUGCAGCCUGUUGAUUGUACGGGUUGCCCUAAGGGACCUUGGAGACAGCU
rnacentral:snoRNA from 1 species